GACGAACGCUGGCGGCGUGCUUAACACAUGCAAGUGGUGCGACGAACCGGACUUCGGUCCGGGGCCAAGCCGCGAACGGGUGAGUAACACGUGGGUAACCUGCCCCGAUGACCGGGAUAACCCGAGGAAACUCGAGCUAAUACCGGAUGUGCUCUCCCCACAUCAGUGGGGCGAGUAAAGGAAGCUUCGGCCUCCGCAUUGGGAUGGGCCCGCGGCCCAUUAGCUUGUUGGUGAGGUAAAAGCUCACCAAGGCGACGAUGGGUAGCUGGUCUGAGAGGACGAUCAGCCACACUGGGACUGAGACACGGCCCAGACUCCUACGGGAGGCAGCAGUGGGGAAUCUUGCGCAAUGCGCGAAAGCGUGACGCAGCAACGCCGCGUGAGGGAAGACGGCCU
rnacentral:rRNA from 1 species